GAUGAACGCUAGCGGCAGGCUUAACACAUGCAAGUCGAGGGGUAGAGGAAGCUUGCUUCCUUGAGACCGGCGCACGGGUGCGUAACGCGUAUACAAUCUACCUUUUACAGAGGGAUAGCCCCAGAGAAAUUUGGAUUAAUACCUCAUAGUAUUUUCGGAUCGCAUGAUUUGAUUAUUAAAGUUCCAACGGUAAAGAUGAGUAUGCGUCCCAUUAGCUAGAUGGUAAGGUAACGGCUUACCAUGGCAAUGAUGGGUAGGGGUCCUGAGAGGGAGAUCCCCCCACACUGGUACUGAGACACGGACCAGACUCCUACGGGAGGCAGCAGUGAGGAAUAUUGGACAAUGGGCGCAAGCCUGAUCCAGCCAUGCCGCGUGCAGGAUGACGGUCCUAUGGAUUGUAAACUGCUUUUGUACAGGAAGAAACACUACUUCGUGAAGUAGCUUGACGGUACUGUAAGAAUAAGGAUCGGCUAACUCCGUGCCAGCA
rnacentral:rRNA from 1 species